rnacentral:lncRNA from 1 species
AUUCAAAGGGUUUAAAACAAUAAAUGCUUACAAUUUGCUUUAAUAUAAUGAAAGCCAUUUUAAAACAAUACAUUUCCAGCCAUAGAAAAAAGUAUCACAUGUUCAUCUAGAUAUUUCCUUUUUGGAACUGGCCACCAGUUCAGGUAAAAAAAUACCCAAGUUAAAAUACUUUCUUCAGUAAAUUUACUAUAGUAUUUGCCUUCUAAUGAACUCAAGUUAAAUAAAAAUAGCUUGAUUUAUUAUGGCAUCUUUAAAAGAUGUUCAAAGUUCCAUACAGCAUUUUCUCAGUCAUUGGAACUCAUGCAGUCCUUAAGUAACAUAAACUGAACAUCCUGAGAGCAUUACUACAGGAGAGUGUGAAUCUGUGCUCAUUUGUCUCACCUUAUUUACAGAUUGUAGGAGUGCUGGGUUAGUUCUGGAGAUAAAACCAACUCUGUUUACAAGAGUAUUUUUGCUUUUAUAGCUCUGUUACAACCGGUUUAACAGUUCAGGUGCCUUGUGCUCCAUAAAACUGGUUCUGACCUGAUUUUUAAGACUGAAUGUUAAAAUAUAAGUAAUGAAAUUGGUAUGUUAUUUGGUUUAUGUAAUAUUUAAACCUUUAAAUGACCUACAGUCAUGUUCCACUUCCCACAAUAAGAAACAAACAUAAAGACCUGCUCUAUUUAGAACUUGGCACCAGUAUUCAGAAAUCAGUCUGGGAUCUUAUGGGUUAAUAUAGUUAAUCUGUGCGGCAGGUGUGUUUGAGCGAACACUCCCUUUAGUUCACAGCCGUUCACUUGAAGAGGGAGCUGCGAAUAAGGAGCUAACUUCAAAAUCAUACAAAAAGAGAAAGGGAAAAGUCAAAGCAUUAAUGUUCCAGGUCUUAAAGUGAAGAAAUGGCAGAAUCUUCAAAAUCUCCAUCACACCAGCCAAUCAGGAAAAGAGAGAGUAUAGAAGAACCACUGACGUUUGGUUGUGAGUCCAGCAGUCCUCUGUCUGAAGGUCAGUUCCAGUGUUCUAUCUGUCUGGACGUGUUCACUGAUCCAGUUUCUACUCCAUGUGGACACAACUUCUGUAAAUCCUGCCUCACUCAGUACU